CAAAAUUGAUACAUGAAACAGUCUGAUGGAACCUUGGUACUGUUGUUUACCUUGUUAUAGUAGAACUAGUGCUUUUGUUUUUCGUUUCCCCAAGUUGUAGUUGAUCUCUAGUACAUAUUUCUUUUAUCUCUCUGAUAUGAAUCUGUAGUUCAGAUUCAUUUUGUUAUUUUGGCAUAUACAAAAUAAAAGAGGACUGAUAUUCUGAAGGUUUCACAUGUUAUGCAAGGCUUUAAUAUUUUAAUCGCCAAACUAUAUUAAGCAAAAUGCAUUGCUAACUACAAUAACUUGAUUAGAAGGUUGCCUUUCAUUCAUUUGCACAAUAUGUUAUGUUGUUUAGGCUGACCAUGUUCAUCCCCACAGGUUCUUUGAUGUGUUGUCGUGCUGUUGCAUGCUUUCUACCAUGAUGUGAAGAAAGAUCAUGUCACCAAUGUUCGGAGCAUACAGUCAUAUAGCCCUAUCAAGUUUGCCCUUUGUGAUGUACUAUGUGUUCACAGAUUUUACCAUUAUCAGAUGUAAUGUGUGUUCAAAAAAUUACUUUCAUUUUUUAUGUUAGAUGUCAGGUUUACCAUUGUUAGCAUAUGGUGUACAAUCUGGAUGGCUGCAGCCAGAACCAAAGUUGUAUUCUUAGAAUUUUCAUUAGUACUGUAGACUAAAUAACUAGCAAUCAUAUUUGCCUGUAGCCUGUAGCUGUAUUCUAAGUAUUCCACUUAUGCCCACUUAAUCCAUGAAACAUU
rnacentral:lncRNA from 1 species